CCUACGGGAGGCAGCAGUGGGGAAUAUUGGGCAAUGGGCGCAAGCCUGACCCAGCAACGCCGCGUGAAGGAAGAAGGCUUUCGGGUUGUAAACUUCUUUUCUCAGGGACGAAGAAAGUGACGGUACCUGAGGAAUGAGCCUCGGCUAACUACGUGCCAGCAGCCGCGGUAAGACGUAGGUGGCAAGCGUUAUCCGGAUUUACUGGGUGUAAAGGGCGUGUAGGCGGGACUGCAAGUCAGAUGUGAAAACCACGGGCUCAACCUGUGGCCUGCAUUUGAAACUGUAGUUCUUGAGUACUGGAGAGGCAGACGGAAUUCCUGGUGUAGCGGUGAAAUGCGUAGAUAUUAGGAGGAACACCAGUGGCGAAGGCGGUCUGCUGGACAGCAACUGACGCUGAGGCGCGAAAGCGUGGGGAGCAAAUAGGAUUAGAUACCCCUGUAGUC
rnacentral:rRNA from 1 species